UUUUGGCGAAGACCACGAGGAUUCUAUAGAUACAUGCCAGUGCAUUGCUAAUUCUUAUGGGGCAAUGGAAAGUUAUGCCCUCGCAUUAGAGUUCCAAAAGCAUGUUAUUGACUCAUGGGAAAGACAUGGGCCUAAUGCAAGCGAUGAGUUAAGAGAAGCUCAUCGUCUGCUUGAGCAGUUAAAGAAGAAGGCACAAGGAUCUCCGUCUGCUGUUUUUCCUGCAAACACAUUGCCACUGUCAUGGCAUAAUUGAUCUGGCUGCAGAAGUCAUACAAAAUGGUCAUCAAGAUUCCAACAAAGUUUGUAAAGAGCUGGUGAUGAACUUUGCCUUAAACCUGUUGUUCAAUGUUUCUCAAACUCAUCAAGUAUGCAGGAAUUUAGCUAUUCCUGGUGUUCCCAAGAGAGGUCAGCACUCUGUACUCAUUAGUAUAUACAUUGCAUAUCCUGCCAGCGCAUCUAAUUUUUAUCUGACACCAUGUUACUUACAUCUGCAAUUCCAACGUGAACAGCUUUAAUUACUGCUUAAGAGAUGCAUGUUGUAAUUUAUUUAUUUAAUUCUUUAUUUUCUUUCCUA